UUGCUAGAAGCCAAAAAGAGGCUUAUCAUUGUUAAUGAUACUACUGAAGUCAUAACUUCCUAGCAAG
rnacentral:tRNA from 1 species